UACGUAGGGGGCUAGCGUUAUCCGGAAUUACUGGGCGUAAAGGGUGCGUAGGCGGUCUUUCAAGCCAGAAGUGAAAGGCUACGGCUCAACCGUAGUAAGCUUUUGGAACUGUAAGACUUGAGUGCAGGAGAGGAGAGUGGAAUUCCUAGUGUAGCGGUGAAAUGCGUAGAUAUUAGGAGGAACACCAGUAGCGAAGGCGGCUUCCUGGUCUGUAACUGACACUGAGGCGCGAAAGCGUGGGGAGCAAACAGGAUUAGAUACCCCGGUAGUCCCUGAG
rnacentral:rRNA from 1 species